rnacentral:rRNA from 1 species
GACGAACGCUGGCGGCGUGCUUAACACAUGCAAGUCGAACGGAAAGGCCCUGCUUGCAGGGUACUCGAGUGGCGAACGGGUGAGUAGCACGUGGGUGAUCUGCCCUGCACUUCGGGAUAAGCCUGGGAAACUGGGUCUAAUACCGGAUAGGAGCCAUUUUUAGUGUGAUGGUUGGAAAGUUUUUUCGGUGUAGGAUGAGCUCGCGGCCUAUCAGCUUGUUGGUGGGGUAAUGGCCUACCAAGGCGGCGACGGGUAGCCGGCCUGAGAGGGUGGACGGCCACAUUGGGACUGAGAUACGGCCCAGACUCCUACGGGAGGCAGCAGUGGGGAAUAUUGCACAAUGGGCGCAAGCCUGAUGCAGCGACGCCGCGUGGGGGAUGACGGCCUUCGGGUUGUAAACUCCUUUCGCUAGGGACGAAGCUUUUGUGACGGUACCUAGAUAAGAAGCACCGGCUAACUACGUG